CAGUCGCCACGGUAAUACGUAGGGAGCAAGCGUUGUUCGGAUUUACUGGGCGUAAAGGGCGCGUAGGCGGCGCGGUAAGUCACUUGUGAAAUCUCUGAGCUUAACUCAGAACGGCCAAGUGAUACUGCUGUGCUAGAGUGCGGAAGAGGCAACCGGAAUUCUUGGUGUAGCGGCGAAAUGCGUAGAUAUCAAGAGGAACACCUGAGGCGAAGGCGGGUUGCUGGGCCGACACUGACGCCGAUGCGCGAAAGCCAGGGGAGCAAACGGGAUUAGAUACCCGAGUAGUCCCUGUCUCUUAUAC
rnacentral:rRNA from 1 species